AUUGAACGCUGGCGGCAGGCUUAACACAUGCAAGUCGAACGAGUGGCGGACGGGUGAGUAAUGCUUGGGAAUCUAGCUGAUGGAGGGGGAUAACUACUGGAAACGGUAGCUAAUACCGCAUACCAUCGGAUGUGCCCAGAUGGGAUUAGCUAGUAGGUGGGGUAACGGCUCACCUAGGCGACGAUCCCUAGCUGGUCUGAGAGGAUGACCAGCCACACUGGAACGGAGACACGGUCCAGACUGCUACGGGAGGCAGCAGUGGGGAAUAGUGCACAAUGGGCGAAAGCCUGAUGCAGCCAUGCCGCGUGUAUGAAGAAGGCCUUCGGGUUGGAAAGUACUUUCAGCGAGGAGGCGUUACUCGCAGAAGAAGCACCGGCUAACGCCGUGCCAGCAGCCGCGGUAAUUC
rnacentral:rRNA from 1 species